rnacentral:rRNA from 1 species
UACGAAGGGGGCUAGCGUUGCUCGGAAUCACUGGGCGUAAAGCGCACGUAGGCGGAUUGCUAAGUCAGGGGUGAAAUCCUGGAGCUCAACUCCAGAACUGCCCUUGAUACUGGCGGUCUCGAGUCCGGGAGAGGUGAGUGGAACUGCGAGUGUAGAGGUGAAAUUCGUAGAUAUUCGCAAGAACACCAGUGGCGAAGGCGGCUCACUGGUCCGGUACUGGACGCUGAGGUGGCGAAAAGCGUGGGGAG